GGGCCUGUAGCUUAGUCUGGUCAGAGCCCCCGGCUCAUAACCGGGUGGCCGUCGGUUCGAAUCCGACCGGGCCCA
rnacentral:tRNA from 1 species